CAGCCUCACUCUGCUUCCCCUGGUGUGGAUUGGGGUUUGCAGGUCGGACAACCCUGAGGACAAGGAGAGGGUAAAGUAAAAGAUACAAAUUAAGGAGAAGAAAAAGCGCUCCCUAAGACGGCAGCAUUAGCCUCUGAAUUUUUGUGCACAAAGACCCGGACAAGAAAAAGGAUCGGAACACGGGCGGAUCCAUGCCAGCAGAAUCAAAGGACCUGUGGAGAAACCUAAGGAGUGGACUAUAGCAUCUGAACCUAGUGACACUAGAUUGACUCUUAAGCGAGGACCAGUUGGUAACAAACUGGAAGGACCCAAAUGACAACUUCCAUCAAUGCCAUACAGUAUAUUGUGUCUGACUCGUCCUAAACACUGGACAUACUCACUAGAUUAAGUGUAAAGAUCUAAAUUGUAGAAAAACUGAUGUUGUAAUACAUACAAUCAACAUUCUCAUUAUAGGAAGUUCUGGAUACAAAAUUUUCUCCCUAUCCAGAUAAAAACUAAGAACCACUG